AUGGAUUCACUGACUCUCUUGCUUGGGGUGAUACUGUUUUGGGUUCCAGGCUCCACUGGGGGCAUUGUGCUGACCCAGUCUCCAGCUUCCUCAGCUGUUUCUCUAGGACAGAAAGUCACCAUCUCCUGCCAGGCCAGUCAGAGUGUCAAUUUUAUUGGCAUAAAUAUGAUGCACUGGUAUCAACAGAAACCAGGACAACCUCCCAAACUCCUGAUCUAUGCAGCAUCUAAUGUAGCACCUGGGGUCACUGCCAGAUUCAGUGGCAGUGGGUCUGGGACAGAUUUCACCCUCACCAUUAAUCCUGUCGAGGACGAUGAUGCUGCAAUCUAUCACUGGCAACAGAAUAAGGAGUUUCCUCCCACAGUGCUCUAA